UUCGUAGUCCUUUAACCCAACAGCUUCAGCAGAACAGCAAGCUCUAUCCUCUGAUACUGAAGCGUAAGAUUGGAAGUAAGGUAUCCAUUCUGAAUUGUCACGCACUGCAUCUACACGAAUGAUCCUCUGCCAUGUAGCAAAAUUUUCAGCAGCAGGUGCACUUAAGUGGAGUUCUGUCCUUGAAGGAGAAAUAAACUCUUUGGAAG
rnacentral:misc_RNA from 1 species